rnacentral:rRNA from 1 species
GCCAUGCAUGUCUCAGUACAAGCCAAAUUAAGGUGAAACCGCGAAAGGCUCAUUAAAUCAGUUAUGGUUCCUUAGAUCGUACCCACAUUUACUUGGAUAACUGUGGUAAUUCUAGAGCUAAUACAUGCAAACAGAGCUCCGACCGGAGACGGAAGGAGUGCUUUUAUUAGAACAAAACCAAUCGGCGGCAGUUUAGUUUCGGCUUUAUUGUUCGUCGCACUUUUUGGUGACUCUGAAUAACUUUUGGCUGAUCGCACGGUCUUGCACCGGCGACGCAUCUUUCAAAUGUCUGCCUUAUCAACUGUCGAUGGUAGGAUCUGCGCCUACCAUGGUUGUAACGGGUAACGGGGAAUCAGGGUUCGAUUCCGGAGAGGGAGCCUGAGAAACGGCUACCACAUCCAAGGAAGGCAGCAGGCGCGCAAAUUACCCACUCCCGGCACGGGGAGGUAGUGACGAAAAAUAACGAUACGGGACUCAUCCGAGGCCCCGUAAUCGGAAUGAGUACACUUUAAAUCCUUUAACGAGGACCAAUUGGAGGGCAAGUCUGGUGCCAGCAGCCGCGGUAAUUCCAGCUCCAAUAGCGUAUAUUAAAGUUGUUGCGGUUAAAAAGCUCGUAGUUGAAUUUGUGUCCCGCGCUGUCGGUUCACCGCCCGCGGUGUUUAACUGGCACGUCUCGCGGGACGUCCUGCCGGUGGAUGUGUGGUCUUUGUAUUCUCUCCCAUCAUUAUUAACGUGUGCAUUUAUGUUACUGUUAAUGUGGUGUGUGGGGUUUCAUUGUUACCUCCAUCCGACUAAGUUAUCCUGUCGCGGUGCUCUUAAUUGAGUGUCGAGGCGGGCCGGCACGUUUACUUUGAACAAAUUAGAGUGCUCAAAGCAGGCUAAAAUUUUGCCUGAAUAUUGUGUGCAUGGAAUAAUGGAACAGGACCUCGGUUCUAUUUUGUUGGUUUUCGGAACCCCGAGGUAAUGAUUAAUAGGGACAGAUGGGGGCAUUCGUAUUGCGACGUUAGAGGUGAAAUUCUUGGAUCGUCGCAAGACGGACAGAAGCGAAAGCAUUUGCCAAAAAUGUUUUCAUUAAUCAAGAACGAAAGUCAGAGGUUCGAAGGCGAUCAGAUACCGCCCUAGUUCUGACCAUAAACGAUGCCAGCUAGCGAUCCGCCGACGUUCCUCCGAUGACUCGGCGGGCAGCUUCCGGGAAACCAAAGCUUUUGGGUUCCGGGGGAAGUAUGGUUGCAAAGCUGAAACUUAAAGGAAUUGACGGAAGGGCACCACCAGGAGUGGAGCCUGCGGCUUAAUUUGACUCAACACGGGAAACCUCACCAGGCCCGGACACCGGAAGGAUUGACAGAUUGAGAGCUCUUUCUUGAUUCGGUGGGUGGUGGUGCAUGGCCGUUCUUAGUUGGUGGAGCGAUUUGUCUGGUUAAUUCCGAUAACGAACGAGACUCUAGCCUGCUAACUAGGCGUUAACUUACCGGUAUCCUGAAGGCUUGUGUCUCUUGUUUUCUGUCAUAUUCUUGUCGUCGUGUAUUUUCGUUUCGGCGUUAAUGCAUAACACUUUAUAUGUUCAGGGCAAGAGUUCACAGUUUUUACUACCGGCGUACAUACAAAUCUUCUUAGAGGGACAGGCGGCUCCUAGCCGCACGAGAUUGAGCAAUAACAGGUCUGUGAUGCCCUUAGAUGUUCUGGGCCGCACGCGCGCUACACUGAAGGAAUCAGCGUGUCUUCCCUGGCCGAAUGGUCCGGGUAACCCGCUGAACCUCCUUCGUGCUAGGGAUUGGGGCUUGCAAUUGUUCCCCAUGAACGAGGAAUUCCCAGUAAGCGCGAGUCAUAAGCUCGCGUUGAUUACGUCCCUGCCCUUUGUACACACCGCCCGUCGCUACUACCGAUUGAAUGAUUUAGUGAGGUCUUCGGACUGGUACGCGGCGAUAUUUCGAUAUUGCCGAUGUCSCUGGGAAGAUGAC